GCUCGGUUAGCUCAGCUGGUUAGAGCGUCGUACUAAUAUCUUCAAAACCUUGGACAUAUAUAGUAAUGCGAAGGUCAUGAGUUCAAUCCUCAUACUGAGCA